UAGACUGCAGCAUAAGACGAAUAAGACUAUCCAUCUAUCGCCUGACCGCAUUUCAGCCAGGAACAUGGGAGGCCACGAUGCUGGGAGCCAACACCAGUUUACAGGGAUUGCCAAAUAUUUUAACUCAUACACCAUUACAGGAAGAAGGAAU
ensembl:processed_transcript